rnacentral:rRNA from 1 species
UCAAGUGACUAAGUGUAUGUGGUGGAUGCCUUGGCGAUCACAGGCGAAGAAGGACGUAGUAGCUUGCGAUAAGCUGCGGGGAGCCGGCAAACGGGCAUUGAUCCGCAGAUUUCCGAAUGGGGGAACCCACCGACGCAAGUCGGUAUCACACACUGAAUACAUAGGUGUGUGAGGCGAACGGAGCGAACUGAAACAUCUAAGUAGCUCCAGGAAAAGAAAUCAACCGAGAUUGCGAAAGUAGCGGCGAGCGAAAUUGCAGCAGCCCAGUGUUCUGAUAGCACGAACGACAGCAGAAAGGUCUGGAAAGGCCUGCUAUAGAGGGUGAUAGCCCCGUAUGCGAAAUCGAACGUGUGGUACUAAGGGACCGAUAAGUAGGGCGGGACACGUGACAUCCUGUCUGAAGAUGGGGGGACCAUCCUCCAAGGCUAAAUACUCGUGAUCGACCGAUAGUGAACCAGUACUGUGAAGGAAAGGCGAAAAGAACCCCGGGAGGGGAGUGAAAUAGAACCUGAAACCGCAUACAUACAAACAGUAGGAGCCCGUGUAGUCGGGUGACUGCGUACCUUUUGCAUAAUGGGUCAGCGACUUACGUUUUGUGGCGAGCUUAACCGAGUAGGGGAGGCGUAGCGAAAGCGAGUUCGAAUAGAGCGAGAAGUCUCAAGGCGUAGACCCGAAACCAGAUGAGCUAUCCAUGGCCAGGUUGAAGGUGUGGUAACACACACUGGAGGACCGAACCGACUAGUGUUGCAAAAUUAGCGGAUGAGCUGUGGAUAGGGGUGAAAGGCUAAACAAAUCUGGAGAUAGCUGGUUCUCCCCGAAAACUAUUGAGGUAGUGCCUCGUGUAUUGCUCCAGGGGGUAGAGCACUGUUAUGGCUAGGGGGACAUGGCGUCUUACCAAACCAUGGCAAACUCCGAAUACUUGGAAGUAAGAGCACGGGAGACAGAGCACCGGGUGCUAACGUCCGGACUCAAGAGGGAAACAACCCAGACCGCCGUUUAAGGUCCCAAAUAUUGACUAAGUGGAAAACGAAGUGUGAAGGCUAAGACAGUCAGGAAGUUGGCUUAGAAGCAGCCAUCCUUCAAAGAAAGCGUAAUAGCUCACUGAUCGAGUCCUCAUGCGCGGAAGAUGUAACGGGGCUAAGUCAAUAACCGAAAGCGCGGAUUUGUACGAAAGUACAAGUGGUAGGGGAGCGUUCUGUAAGCCUGCGAAGGUGGUUCGAGAGGACUGCUGGAGGUAUCAGAAGUGCGAAUGCUGACAUGAGUAACGUUAAAGCGGGUGAAAAGCCCGCUCGCCGCAAGCCCAAGGUUUCCUGCUCUACGUUCAUCGGAGCAGGGUGAGUCGGCCCCUAAGGCCAGGCUGAGAAGCGUAGUCGAUGGGAAGCAGAUUAAUAUUUCUGCACCAUGUGCAAGUGCGAUGGGGGGACGGAGUGCGAAAGAUCAUCCGGGUGUUGGAUGUCCCGGUUUGUGAGUGUAGAAGGCCGACAGGCAAAUCCGUCGGCAGAUCUUCGAGACAAAGCAUCGAGGUUCUACGGAACCGAAGUGAUCGGAAGUGCUUCCAGGAAAAGCCUCUAAGCUCCAGCUUGCAUGUGACCGUACCGUAAACCGACACUGGUGGGCGAGUUGAAUAUACUCAGGCGCUUGAGAGAACUCGGGAGAAGGAACUCGGCAAAUUGACACCGUAACUUCGGGAUAAGGUGUGCCUUUGUAGCGUGAAGAGAGAAACACUCGGAGCGUGAAGAGGCCUCAGAGAAUCGGUGGCUGCAACUGUUUAUUAAAAACACAGCACUCUGCAAAGACGAAAGUCGACGUAUAGGGUGUGAUGCCUGCCCGGUGCUGGAAGAUUAAGUGAUGGGGUGAGAGCUCCUGAUCGAAGUCCCAGUAAACGGCGGCCGUAACUAUAACGGUCCUAAGGUAGCGAAAUUCCUUGUC